GUAGGGUGCGAGCGUUAAUCGGAAUUACUGGGCGUAGAGCGUGCGCAGGCGGUCCGCAAAGUCUGAUGUGAAAGCCCCGGGCUCAACCUGGGAACUGCAUUGGAAACUAACGGGCUCGAGUGUGGCAGAGGGGGGUGGAAUUCCACGUGUAGCAGUGAAAUGCGUAGAGAUGUGGAGGAACACCGAUGGCGAAGGCAGCCCCCUGGGCUAACACUGACGCUCAGGCACGAAAGCGUGGGGAGCAAACAGGAUUAGAUACCCUGGUAGUCCACGCCCUAAACGAUGUCAACUGGGUGUUGGGGGAGCGAUUCCUCAGUACCGUAGCUAACGCGUGAAGUUGACCGCCUGGGGAGUACGGCCGCAAGGUUA
rnacentral:rRNA from 1 species